CCGAUGGAAAGAGGAUGAGACCGGCUCUGGUGUUCUUGGUGUCACGGGCUACAGUAGAGCUACUUGGCUUGAAAUAAGAGCUAGCCUAAAUGAGCAUUUUGGUUCCUGCAAGGAGAUCUCGAGGGUGUCAGUCCCAAAAGAUAUCGAGUCUGGAGGUCCUAAAUGCUUGAGAAUGAGGACAUGCUCUAUCUACUUUCUAUUGAUGAUGAUGAAGAGCAGUGCAUUCAAAUACCAUAUUGAUUUUUGGUUAUCACUGCUAGUAUUUAACAGGUUAUGGUGGUUGAUGCUGAGGCAUACACCUAUGAUGAUGAGGUCAUCAAGAAAGCUAAAGCAAUGGGAAAGCCUGAAAAUCCUGA